UUUCCGUAGGUGAACCUGCGGAAGGAUCAUUGUCGAAACCUGCCCAGCAGAACGACCCGCGAACACGUAUCAAUGCUACGGGGGCGAGGGGAGGCAUGCCCCCUCUCUCCCCCAAAGCCGGGACGCGCUCGGUGCUCGAUCCGCCAACCGUGCCCCGCGCGSGGGAAGCACCGGCACCGGCGUGCGCCCGGCAUCACAACGAACCCCGGCGCAAAUCGCGUCAAGGAAACGAAACGCAAGAGCUUGCUCCCAUCCCCCGGUCCCGGGUCGUGGUGGGGGCGAUGGCAUCUUCGAUAUUAUACUAAACGACUCUCGGCAACGGAUAUCUCGGCUCUCGCAUCGAUGAAGAACGUAGCGAAAUGCGAUACUUGGUGUGAAUUGCAGAAUCCCGUGAACCAUCGAGUCUUUGAACGCAAGUUGCGCCCAAAGCCAUUAGGCCGAGGGCACGUCUGCCUGGGCGUCACGUAUCGCGUCGCCACCCCAACCCCCGCCCACGCACGCCGUGAUGCGGGGCGUCCUGUGGGGGCGGAUAUUGGCCUCCCGUGCACUCCGGCGCGGUUGGCCUAAAAGCGAGCCCCGGGCGACAGAACGUCACGAUAAGUGGUGGUUGAUAAGCCCCGGCCCUUCAAGUGUCAUGUCGUGCGUUGCCCUGUCGCCCGUUGGAGCUACCGAGACCCCGAUGCGUCGUCCCGACGAUGCUUCCAUCGCGACCCCAGGGUCAAGCGGGACUACCCGCUGAGUUUAAGCAUAUC
rnacentral:misc_RNA from 1 species